rnacentral:rRNA from 1 species
UACGGAGGGUGCAAGCGUUAUCCGGAUUCACUGGGUUUAAAGGGUGCGUAGGCGGGUAUGUAAGUCCGUGGUGAAAUCCUGCAGCUUAACUGCAGAACUGCCGUGGAUACUAUAUAUCUUGAAUGUUGUUGAGGUGAGUGGAAUAUGUCAUGUAGCGGUGAAAUGCUUAGAGAUGACAUAGAACACCGAUUGCGAAGGCAGCUCGCUAAACAAAUAUUGACGCUGAGGCACGAAAGCGUGGGUAGCAAACAGG